UCAACGAGAACAGAAAUC
rnacentral:snRNA from 1 species